rnacentral:rRNA from 1 species
CGACUCUCGGCAACGGAUAUCUCGGCUCUCGCAUCGAUGAAGAACGUAGCGAAAUGCGAUACCUGGUGUGAAUUGCAGAAUCCCGUGAACCAUCGAGUCUUUGAACGCAAGUUGCGCCCGAGGCCAUCCGGCCGAGGGCACGCCUGCCUGGGCGUCACGC